rnacentral:lncRNA from 11 species
GCAAAAUCUACAUGAACUUUGGUCAGUUCAGAAAGUUGUCAACAAGUGCCAGGUGCAUUGUGAAAAGUCUUGUUGGCAGAAGAUAUAUAAAGCCUGUAUGUGCUCAAUACUCUUCUCAAUCCCUCUCAGGACCAUUUGCCUGAGCAGUAUAUGUGAGUCUUUUGAGCAAAAGAUCUGAUGUGGAUGUGUGAUUCUUUCUGAUUCAGUCAUUUAUUUUUGCAGUUCUGCACCUAUUUACGUAUGGAAAGUUGAAUGUUGAAGGCAGAACUUAAGGGAAGAAUAGCUUCACAAAACAGGAGCUGUCACUUCAGCCUCUGAAGCUAUUACACUGUCCAGAAAAGCAGACAAAAGUAUCAUUUUAUACAGGACCACAUGGGAAGACAAUCAACCUAGUUUGGCUGAGCAAAGGCACAGAGUAAAGUGCAUGAUUAAAUGGUACUUGAAGUGUGUUUUCUCUGUUCAUAUUAUGUGAAUAAAAUCUCUAGGAAAAUACAGUUUAAUAUAGGCAAUUAAAAUCUGUAUAUCUUCAAGAGAAAAUGGCUGAAUCCUGCAUAAUAGAAGCAAGCAAGAAAUAUGUUUUUGUGAAACCAAAUGAAGAAGUGAACAGAGCAGGCAAAAUAUUUUUGGACAAAAAAUACUCAUCAGAUUGUAAAAAUGGUUUUUUUAGGAGAAACUACAGGAGGUACUACAAGAGUGAAAGAAGAAAAUGGACUAAUUACAGAACACAUUUUUAUUUAGGCAUGAUCAACGUUUCUCUUCUUCUUCUUAAUGUUUGUUUAUAUUCCGUUUUAUAUGCAGGUGAGUGAAGAACUGCACUGGUCAAAUUAUACUUUAUAAUCAGUCAGUUUAUUUCA